GGGGUCGAUUUUGGUUUCGACUUUGUGAAUUGAGCCAGGGGAAGCGUGCCGGUGCAGACAGGAGACCACCGUUAAGCGUCGCUGUAAUUCUAUAAGCGCCGAGAACACUCAGCGCGACUACGCCCUCGCUGCCUAAUAGCAGCGACCGCGUGUCUGUCAGACCGGGUUAGUCCCUGACCCGGACCCUGGCAUCGACUAAAGGGACUCGCCAUCCGGCUUUGUUGCUUGGACCGGAUGGGACUUUUUAUCAAGCAACUGGGCCCGUCUUAUCAGACUUGUUCGCAAGAGCUGAAGGGCCGAGUAGAGGCGACUAGCGCGAACUGCGCACGGAGAAGCCCUGGCGAGGUCGCAAAGGACCCGGGUUCAAUUCCCGGCGGCUCCACCA
rnacentral:tmRNA from 2 species